rnacentral:lncRNA from 1 species
CAGGCAUCCGCUGCUCGCGAGUGCCCGGUGCGUCUGCGCAGCCUGUGAGCCCUGGGAGGACGGUGAGUCCCCCUGGAGGCCCACCGGUUAGUGUGUGCAGAGGACUGGCGGCACCCUGUCCGCACCUGCCGUGGGGACCCAGCCUGCGGGUGAGCUGCUGCGUGUGGCCGAGUCCGGGCUGGCAGGUGGCGCUGGGCCCCUGACCCCUGGGCCCGCGGGGCUGGUCCCUGUCCCCUCCCUGUUGGCGACCUCCUAGGUCAUCCCUGGGCAGCCGAUCCCAGAGAGCGCGGUGAGCACGUCGUGGGAAACGAGCGCGAGGACCCGAGAUCUGGGAAGCAGCACGCAUUAGUGGCGCCAGGACCUGGGGGAAAACCCCUCAGUCCCAGCCCCGGGCUCAGCAGGGCCUUUACUUUCAGACGUAACAGCUCUGGGUUACUUCGGGCCAGAGAGUUGGUCGGUUCUAUUAGAGGACGCGCUAUGCCCUCUUUGUAAGGGGUCAAGCUUGUCCUCAAUCUAGGGACUCAGCUCACGCAACUUAGGGACUUUUACUGCACUAAGACCAAAGGGGAGUUCUUCAGUCCCAGUUGUUUUAAUUUCCCUUUUGCUGCGGAGGGUUGGUUCUUCACGACCCUGAGGUUAAAUGUCAGUACACAGAGCUGCUGUUGUGUCAGAGUGCUACGCCAUAGCCUGUGAGCACUUAGGCUGCCAAGUUUCCAUUAAAAAAAAUAAUAAUAAUUUUAGAAAUUUUUGUCUUUAUAUGUGGUGCUGGGAUUGAACCCAGUACCUCACACAUGCCAGGCAAGCGCUCUGCCACUGAGCCACAGCCCCUGUCCCCAAGUUUCCAUUGUGACUUACCACAAGCCCAGGAGAGUGUCAGGGGAUCUUCAGAUGUGUUCUGAGUGUGGCAGUGGGGCCCCAGUGGGGCCCCAUCGACCCUCCUUUCUGGACAGAAGUAACUUGUACUCCCCACAGACACUUCCAAAUGUGCAGGAAGUAGGAUCUCAAACCAAUUUUCCAUUCUAGAACCCCACUUCUCCAAGGGCUGGCAGCAAAUCCUUAAAAUUCCAAUUCUCUCUCAGCAUUCCUCAUGCUAACUGCAUCUUGUGAGAAAUAGAAAGUCAGGGGUUCAUUUUCUGAAUACAGUAUUUAAACAUAAAUGUAAAAUUGGGAUGUAAGAAUGGUAGCCUGAGGGUAAGAAGAGCAGGAUGGAAGGUUACAAGCAGUUAACACACAACAGCACCACCGCCUGUGAUAUGGAAGAUCAAAGUCCCUGCACCUAAACAGCUCUUGACAAAUGAAGUCAGGCAAGGGGCAAUCUGGACCAACAGAGGUAGAAACUUUCUGUUUAGAAAUAGUAACUGGGUAAAGAAGAACUGUGUGCCAAAAUACAUUCACCCCAAGAAGACCUUCCUGCCACAGAGAACAGAGGGAGGUGGGGCAAGAAAAGGUGCAUUUCUUUAACCCAAUAGGAGACAGUAAAACCUAGCUGACAUUCAGAGGACACUGCCCGCCCCAAGUCCUCAGCUAAUGAGGAACUGGGGGAGGGACCUUCUGCCCUAGGAUGAAAUGCUGAUUGUCACAGCUGUGGCUUUGCCACAUCUUGCAAAUGCCUCGCUUCCUGCUCUACUGCAUGUUGCAGACCAUUCUUUGGGUUUGCACAGGUGAGCAUGUGUCUCACACUCACCAGGGCACACUGUGUCAACAUUUGUUCCCAAGACUGCAUUCAAGUGGAGAGUGUUUUAAUGGUCGUAGUUUCACUGAGUACUGGAUGCCAAUUUUUAAAGGGUUUUUUGUUUGUCUUGUGGUGGUUUUGUCUGUUUUUAUUUUUAUGUAUCUGCAUGUCUCCCAGGAGUGCAAAGCAGAGAGGAAUGACCUGGAAUUUGAGUGUUAAAAACUACUUAUGCCUCUCUUGAUCUUGCCCAGGAACAGACACCUUUGCAGUGUCUUUAGGCCACUUUUAGGGUCCUGUGUCCUCAGGUACUUUCCUGUUUUUUUCCUGAGGCUUCCAAAUGGUGCCCACAGCCAUCCUGUGCCUGUCAAUGUGCAGGUAAUUUCAGGCCCUGGGUCAGCUCCUCCUAGAGGACAGACUGAGGUGUAGACUGCAGAUUCUGAGGGGAGCAGCUGGAGAUACCCAGGUCAGGCAGUGAAAUGCUGGUGUUGAGGGAACAUGACAGACAUGGUUCUUGCCCUCUGGAUUCUCAGAGCUGGAAGGAAGAACAGUUAUCUCAAAGAGGAGGGAAAAGUGGCCCCAGGAAGGUGAAGGAAAACCCUACAAAGGUCUUCAGCAGCAGGAGGGGGUGGGCGGACAUGCCUGGUGACAGAAGCCUGACUUGAAGCUGGAGUGUGACAGGUCAGUGUCCAGUGGUGCUGCAGCUCCCCAGGUUUGUUGUCUUAGUUAGACUUGUUCACUUAUUUUAGCUUCAGUGUUUCAUUAAUUGUAAAAAGUAACUUAUUAAUAAAGCUGAAAGAUUAGGAAAUAUUCCUAAAGGGCAAGAUAGAGGUAUAAGUCAGGGGGAAAAAGAAAGAUCCAGACAAAAAACAAAGAAACAUUUCUUCUUUUAUUCCAUUAGUUAAAACUUGUUUGGUAGUGUUUUUCUUUCCCAGCAGUCACCUGUGAUGAUUGAUUACCAAAUGUUAUAUUGGAAAUAGUAAUUAAAUAACAUGUUCGUUUUCUAAGCAAGAUGGGUAAAUUUGAUUUUCCUACUGAAGUAUUAAAUGUAACUGGCUUAAAAUUUUUUCUCCUAUGAACAUAAACACAGAGUAUGAGUGUUUUUACUCGGUUCUUUAAACACCAAGUCUGUUCUAUUGAAAAGGUGACUGAGAAGAAGAGAUCUUUAAUCCCAGUAAGUAUAAUCCAAGGCCAGAUGUGAUCCUGCAAAAGGAGGUCACUGAAGGUCCAGUCAGAGCUCUUUGGGCAGCCUCCCCUGCAGAGGCCCAGGCUGCUCACACCAACCCUGGAAGGAGCCCUUUAGACUGAGAAGCUCUAGAGCUCUGGAAACCUGGGGUCCUCAAGCAGAUGUGAUGGGGGACUGGAUGGGAAGGAUAAGGAGAAGCCAUUUCUGAGAGUGCAGUUGAUAUUGUCCAGGGUUGUUCACAGACUGUCCAAUGAAACAAAUGCAGAUUUGGGUGAUAAGCGACUUAUUCUAAGGAGCACUGCAGGAGGGGCGGAGAACCACAGGUGAGCUCUGCAAGCACCCACAGCUCCUGCAGAAAAGGGCUGCUUUCCUAGGGAGGGGCAAACAGGGUUAGGAAGAAGCUGGAGGGGAGGGUAGCGAGGAGGGGGGCAGGUCAGAUCCCAGGUCAGAGGAUGUUUCACUGGAAGUGAGCCUGUUCUAUGGAGGGGCCAGGAAGACGGGUUCUAUGUUGUGUUCAGCUGCCAGUGAGUCAAAUUUCAGAGUCCUUGAGGAAGGAGAGAAUCUUCAGCCCAGUUUGAUUAACAAGGAAUUGUUCUGAUCUGAUCUGAUCUGAUCUGUUCUGUUCUGAUCUGAAGAGAAAUUUGUUCAGCUAAUUGCUUAUGAGGAGAAAAAGAGGGGAGGGAUUUUCUGGAUCAAGGUGUGUAUCUGCCAUGGGUUAAAAAGGGAGCAUCUUCUGAGUCAUAAGGGGGAGGGGGUGUCUGUGCAGGAACUGCUCUAGCAGAAUGCAGAGGAGGGGGGUUUCUUCAUUUAUAGUUCUUUCCUAGGAUUCCCUUUGGCAGUUUCUUUUCCUUUUGGCAGUUCUAAGUUUUAUCAUUUAUAGUAACUAAACAUAAGUGAUGUGCUUUGCUAAAAAUAAAAUCAUUGAACUUGUGGAGGGGGUAAUUGGAGUCCCAGUUUGUGGUUACUUGCUCUCAGCAGGGUGGCUGGCCCUCCUAAAGUGGGCCAGUGUUUUUGAGCAGUGUCCAACCUUGGUAUUCCCCUGUUCUUAUGGGACUUGAGUUGUUCAAGUUUGUUUUUUAUGUUGACAGUUUCAUUCACUUUUGUUCCCAUGUGCUAACACUUCAUAAAAUUUGUAUACAUGGAACUGUCGAGUCAGCAUACAGACACAGUGGUACUGAAACUUCAGGCAAUGUCCCAAUGGCAGUCCAAUAAUGAGGACAGUUUUGAGGAAAAAAAGAAAAAGAUUUAUCGCUUUGCCAGCAGAGGAGAAACUGGGAACUCCAGUUUCAGAGGCUGUGAUUCUGUCAUGUGAGGGGAACAGAAGGUUACAAAGAAGUGAUUCAGAGGCUGCAUUCUAGUGUGCCCUGUAAGGUUUCAUAAUUUACUCAUAGACUUGGGAGACGGCUGUUGUGGUACUGUUGCAAGUCUGAAUUACAUGGUUCCCGUGUUGUGUGAGCUCAAGGACAGCUAACUCCUGUUAAGAUGAGAAGUAUGGCAAUCUGUCACCCCAAGGUUAUGGAAGGGGAAAGGGAGAAGAUAAAGCGGGAAAAAAACAUUGUCAGAUUUAAAAUAAGCCACUGGGUUAUGUUCAGUAUGAAAUGGAUCCCUGAUACAUUUAAGUUAAGCCACAAGGUUAUGUUCACAGCAUGAAGUGGACCCCGAUACAUUUCCCAUUGUCAAUUUCUACCUCCCAUUUCUGUGGAGAAAUGGGCUACAACAUCCCUAAGCUGUUUGCUCCUGAAGCUGGGUGAUGAAUGGGGUCUUAGAAUGGAGUGUCAUUUUCCUUUUGGGGACUUUCCCUGGAGCAGAUGAAGAGGUGACUUGAACCUUAAUGGGGACCUGGAGAAAGCCCACUCACUACAGCAAUUAAUAAAUAUUUGACUGAUUGUCAUAAUGCUCUUUUAGUCUAGGUCUCUUUGUGAGAGCCAUGUUUUGCCCUUCCACAGGAUACCAGCAAGGUCUCUAACAUAGUAUUUCUGGGCUUGAUUUAAAUCAAGAGCAGUUGGCAACCCCAUAUCCCAUUGCAGGUGGGUUCUUGGCAUAUAUUAGCCACAGUGUUUUUAAAGGUGUGAUUUACCUUCUCUGUUUUCCAUGUAGAUUGGGGUCUCCAGGAUGCGUGUAACUUUCAUUGGCCAUCCAAUGUUUGUUCCCUUGUUAAGUCAGUUCUGCAGUGAGAUUGUCCAUCAUCACGUCAGGAUCAAUUCCUUCAAAAGUACUCUAGACAUUUCUAAAGACUUUUCUGUUCUGGAAGAGUCAACCUUGACCCACCUAGAGAAGGUAUCUAUCUACCAGUACAUCAGAUAUCUGACAUUUCCCAUGGUACUCCGUACCUGGGCAGGCUCUACCUGUCAGUCUACAAAAGCCUGAGUUAUUUCAUGUCCUGUGCCCUUUUACAUCUCAUGCUCUUUUACAUGGGCUGCCAUUUAGUCUUUGAACUGUUCUGGUGAACAGCAGAGUUCUGAUACACUUGCUGGGGUCUGGUGGCUGCAUGGCCCUGCCAGCUGGGACUUGCUGAAGGUCAGCAAGGCUUCCUUCCCAUAGCAAGUACUCAUGCAGGUGCUCUGCCAGGGGCCAGGCUUGUGCAGAAAGGAGGAGGAGCCCAUGGCAACUUUGUCUCCACCUGGCACUUCUAUCCUAAGAGUCAGAAACCCCUUAUUUUUUUGGCUCAUUUCUCAUUCUCCUCAGUACGAAAGUGUUUGUGUUGUUCCCAUUCAGGAGAGGUGUGAGUCUGAUGUGCAGUUGGCAUCUGGAUCAUCCAACAGGCUGGCCUGCUCUCUCCCCAUGUUUCCAGCAGGCAGUACUCUGCCUUCUGCUGUGUGGUCCAGCUGUUUUGACAGAUGGCAUCCUAGUCACAGCAUGUCUCCCAGUGUCUAAGAGAACUGUAAGAGUUGGACAUUAUUUUACUAGUCUGAACACUGCCGCAGUCUGGCUGGGCACAAAUCACGAGCCACUGAAGCAGGAACAAACUUUAUUUCCGAACUCCCGCGAACGCCACCCACGCGGCCUUCUCCUGGGACACACCACACAGAAAUCCCUCCUCUGGCACUUCCCCAACCAAUGCGAACUCUCCAGGAAUCCCCGUGAGAACUCCAAAGUAGCGCGGGAACUCCAAAGUAGCGGGCCAAGGUGGACAGUAGAGGUCUAAUAUACAAUUGAAUCAAUCCAGCAUCAUCUUAAUGGCUCACCUCUCAACCAAUACUAUUGGCAAAAUGCCAGGGGCCAUUCCGACUUAGCUGUGGCUCUCAGCAGAACACCUUUUGUAAAUCAGGCAGGGACCAAGUUAAGGGCUCUGACAUGGCUUUGUGGACUCCAAGAUUCUAUUUCUGUUCCACUUUAGGAACAGGGAAAAGAGAAAAAAACACCCCAAACAAAACAAAACAAAAAUAGAGACUCUUACAGCAUCUAGUGAAAGCUGAGGUAGGCCUUGAUGGAGUCUGUGGUUAUGUUGCUUUGCUGUCUAAGUUUGAAAAUUUAAGUUACCCUCAGGUGGCAAUGCCCUCAUUCUGCUAAGUUGGGGAAAAAAAUAGCCCAAAUCUUCCUAAGAGAGUCAGGGACUCUCAAUAAAAAAGCCAGUUAGGGCAGAUUUUUAUGAGUGACCCUGACCUGCAUCUAUCAUGGAAAAGACUUUCAGGUCUUUCGCCACAUUAGUCCAAAAUUAGAAACACAAACAUGGCAGAGUCCUGACAUUCCCAGACACCCAUAUAACUAUCUGGUUCCUGACUUCUCUAACUCUCAAAAGAGAGCCUGCUUGCAACCUGACAGCAACUUGGGGUCUAUUGGAUAAUCUAGAAUCCCAGAUGGCAACCUGUUUACAAAACUGAGACUUUUUAGUGGAUACCACAUAUCGACAUGGGGCAAGAUAGAUUACAGCAGCUUUAGUGUUUAAAGGCAGUAUUCAUGGUUGGACUGGCUAUAGGCAGAUCAUCCACAUAUUUUAAAAGCCUUCUUUGAUAUGGCUGUAACUCUCACAGGUCUUUUUUUUAGAUUCACAUUAAACAGUAGAAUAGGUCUUAAAUCCCUGGGGUAGGAUGGUCCAGCAAGGAUGCAACAUUGGUAUCAGGUCCUUGCCACUGAAAAGCAAGUAAUAAUUGGGAUAUCCUUUCCAGAAGAAUGCAAAAGAAUAUAUCCUUUAAGUCUAGCAUCAUGAAUCAGCCUUAGUUGCCUGGCAUCAGAGCCAGUAGGGUUUGUGGACUUGGUAUUGUGGGCUGAAUAUUCUAAGCAAUAUUAUUUUUAGCUCUCUGCAGAAUAGAUGCAUUAUAGGGUGGAAAAACUAGCCCAAUCUGUGUUUAAAGUUUUGUCCAGAAGAGAAUGGAUGUCCAUCAGUGCCUUCUCUUAAAAGGGGAUGUUAUUUAUUCCUGGGAUGAGUUAACAACUCCUAAACAAAAGCUGGUUGGGAUAACAUUGGUUGCACUUUGCAGACUCCAUUCAGCCUUAAUGGCUUUUUUCCUAGACCUCCAGUAGAUCAGGUAAUUUCCUUUUCCUUGAUUGAAACUGAAAGCAGAGCCUGUGUUCUGUUGGCACUUUAUAUGAAAUCAUUGCUUUUUGGGUGUGAUAACCAUCUCACCCCAAUAGGAUUUAAUUCACAAAACCAAUCUUGUCCUAGGAGAGAGAUUGGGCAAUCCAGCACAUAGAAAAGCUGUGCUAAACUGGGUGCAGUGGUACAUGCCUGUAAUCCCAUCAAGGCAAGAUAAUACAGGCAGAUGUAAGUUUGAGACUAGCUUCAGCAAUUUUGCAAGGCCCUAAUCAGCUUUGUGAGAUCUUGUCUCAAAAUGAAAUGUAAAAAGGACCCAGAAUGGAGCUCAGUGGUUCAGUGCCCCUUGGUUUCAUCUGCAGUACCAAAAAACAAAUGAACAUAAAAGGAAGUGUACCUAAUUUUUUUUUAUGUUGCAUUCAAGGGGUUUGAAUACAAGAUAUUGUUGAGUCUGACCUGGCUUAUUUAUUAUUAUCCCUUAUCCCUUAUUAGCCAUCUACUUUAAGUGUGUUCCCCACUGUCAUUUGUACCCAGAGGUGCUUUCUGGAUUUUUUCUUAUAGUAAGCGUAUUGAUAUUCCAUGGAGGAGGCCCUUUCCAUGCUUUUUUUCCUUGGUAUUGGGAACAUACUAUGAUGCUUAGGUCUCAGGAGUCUUCAUCUCCUCAGCAUGGAAGGGGGUUGCCCAAAAUACCAGCCCAUGAAGCCAGAGCUGGGGCUGCUGUUGACCCUUCCCUGGACUUCAGUUAGUUAUUGAAAGCUUGUUUGUGUUUGUUCCCAAUGCCAGUCUAGUAACAAGGACAUGACUCUGAGAAAAAGAAGAAAAAUAAUUUUUUUUUUUUGCUUUCAAAAAAGAAACACAUGGGACUACUGUUCCAGAGGCUGUGGUUCUGUCCCCUGGGGGAACAGAGAACUUUUAAAGGGGUGGUUCAAAGACUGCAUCCCAGGGUGCCCUGUUGGGGGCCAUAAUUCACUCGUAGACUUGGUAGAUAGUAGAUGGAACUGUUUCUGAGUUCUUCUGGCAUCAUCCCUCCAGACAUCUGGUGUGUAUGCUCAAGGACAGGGAACUUGGCCUAGGAUGGAAAGAAGGGUAGUCUUGCUUCCCCAAGGUUAGGAAGGGGGAAAGAGAGAAGAGAAAGGAAAAAAAUGUCAGUUUUUAAAAACUGCAGUGACAGGGAGGGUUAUUUUUGAAGCUUAAAGUGGACCUAUGUUACAAGAGAGAGGAGUUUGUUUUGUGCUUCUUCUGGUUCUUAUCUUCCCUAGACACAGACCCUUCCCUCAUCAGUGACUUUGGGCAAAAAGUCCCUUGAGGAACUUGACAGGGUGGUGUGUCCUCAACCUCUGGCUUGUCCUAUUGGGUUGAGGUCAGCACUGUCUGGAGCUGCCCUGUGUCUUGCAGGGUGCAGUCUAUUUUAGGCCCUGGGCCAGCUCCCAUAGGCCAGGUCUCUAGUGUAUACAGUAGUCACAGGAAGUUUUCAGGGAAUCUGGAAUCAGUUGGGGUUCUAUAUAAUGUAGGAGUGGCAUGCAGAGUCCCUGUUUAUUUAUUUAUUUAUUUAAAUUUUUUUAGUUGUAGAUGGACACAAUAUCUUUAUUUAUUAUUUUUAUGUGGGGUUGAGGAUUGAACCCAGGGCCUCACACUUGCUAGGCAAGUGCUCUACCACUGAGCCACAACCCCUGCCCCCUCUGUUGAUUCAUUUUAUUUUAUUCAGUCCCCUUUAUUUCUCCCAGGAGUAGUGAAUUUACCUGUUCACACUAUUCCAAAUGUGCAGGAAGCAGGGUCUCCAACCCAUCUUCCCUCCAAUACCUGGACCUCCUUAGGGCUGGCAGCAAACCUAUAAUAUUCCAGUUCCUGAAACAGGCUGAAAUUGAGGGUCACUCCUACCUUUUCCAGGUUGCUCUGCCUCUGAAUUACCCUUGGGCCUGAGAGGGCUGCUCCUCCUCCAGCUGCUAAGUGUCACAACUUGGGCUCUGUCGAGGUGAGUAAAUCUGCACAUGUUUAUUGCCUAUUCUUUCUCACUUUGCUGCUUUUCUCAUAUAUGUUUUCUUUUCUGUCACUUUAGUUAUCUGAAGAUGAAAAAUAGAAACAAAUCAUUCUAUCUUCCUUCAAAACUGGCUUUGCAUAGAAUGUAUUGCCAGUUUGACUUGAAGUAUUUGUGGAGCCUGAGUAGUAGUAGAGUCCUCCCUUUUUUUUUUAACUGUGGGUGAAUAUUUCCUGUGAGUGGAAAGACUAGAAUCACCUGGAACUUCACUUUAAAAGGACUUAUGAAGAGAAAAAUGAAGGAAGAAAGUGUAAGGUUAAUGUUCUCUCCUGUCAGAGUUAAACCUGUAGGACUGGGGCAGUAGCUUAGUGGUAGAGCCCCUGUCUAGCAUGCAGGAGGCUCCAGGUUCAUUCCCCAGCACCACCAAAGACAAAGGAAAAAAAUAAAAGUUGAUCUGUAGUCUGGUGAGUUUCCUAAUAUGUGACUUUAAAAAAAAGUCUAUAAAAGUUAAAUUUCACAAUGUAUAGUUAGGUAGAGCCAAUUUCAGUUAUAAACCUUAUAGUUAAAGUAUAGCCAUUGUGGGGCUAGGGUUGUAGCUCAGUGGUAGAGCACUUGUGUAGCUAGCAAGUGUGAAGCCCUGGGUCUGAUCCCCAGCACUGCAUAAAAACUAAAUAAACAAAAUAAAAGGUAUUGUGUCCAUCUACAACCAAAAAUAUAUUGUUGUUUUUUUUUUUUAAUGUAGCCAUUGUGAACUGCCCAACAUGUACAGCAUGUAUCCACAUGUGGGCAGGAGUGUAUACCCUGGCCCUGGUCACAUCCCCAGCUAUAAUCCUCCUUUGUUCUCAGACUUCCAAUCAUAAUGCUGUAGUGUCCUGAGUGAUCCAGUCCUAACUAUAGUCCUUCCCUUCUGUAAUUUUAAAUUAGCCAGUUGUGUGGAUCUUGACCCAAGCUCCUUCUGCAGAGCAAGGGUCAGUGCUGUGUCAGGGAUAAAUAAGGUGGAUUGUCUGCCAAACCAGGUGUGCUUGCUUGCCAGACUUUGUUUGGUAGCAUGCCUUCUGCUGAAGUAAAGUUGGCCUUGCUCAGCUACCUCCAAGGUGUGUCUUAUUGCUCAGGACAGCUGCCAUUUCUAACAGAAGGAAUGAAGAAAGACAGAAAGUAAUGAAUAAAAUAUUAAUUUUUAAAAAGAAGCACUUAUGCCUUUCUUUCCUAGACACAAACGCUAUAUCAGUGUCUCUGAGCAGAGGUUUCCCUUUGGAAACUGUACUGGAUGCUGUGUCCUCAGCCACUGUUUUAUCUCAUGUCAUGCAUGUCCUCACUGCCUGGGGCUCCCACAUCAUGCCUCAGACUCUGCAUUUUAUUCUAGGAGUUUCAUAGCUUCUGGUCUGAUUCCCAGGUCUUUGAUCCAUUGCAUUUGAAUUUGUGCAGGAUGGGAGAAAGGGUCUAAUUUCAUUUUUCUUUUAUAUAUGGGUAACAAAAUUCCCCAGCACCACUGGUUAUAGGGGCUGUGUUUUCUCCAGUGUCUGGUUUUGCCAUCUUUGUCAGGGAUCAGAUAACUGUAUCUAAGUGGGUUUUUCUCCGCGUCUUCUAAUCUGUACCUGUGGUCCUUGUGCCUGUUUUUAUGCCAGUACUGUUAUGGUUUGGAUGUGAGGUGUCCCCCAAAAGCUCACACGUGAGCCAGUGCUUGAAGGUUUCAAGGAGAAAUGAUUGGGUUGUAAGAAUCUUGACCUGAUCAGUGAAUUCAUCCCCUGAUAGGGAUUAACUGAAUGAAAACUGAAGUGGUAGGGUGUGGCUGGAUUGUAUGGGAACUGGGGCAUGGCUGUGUAUUUGUAUCUGGCCAAAGGAGACUCUCUGUUUCCAGAUCACUAUGUAAGCUACUUCCCGCUGCCACACUCUCCCUCCACUAUGUUCUACCUGGUGCCCCAAGGAAUUGGCCACUCUUCUUGGGCCUAAGGCCCCUGAAACCAUGAGCCCUCAAAUAAACUUUUCCUCCUCCAUAGCUGUUCUGGUCAGAUCCAAAAUAUAGUCACAUAGCAAAAAAGCUGACUAAAAGAAGUAUCACGCAGUUUUCAUUAGUAAAGUACUUUGUAUGUUCAUGAGGAUUGCACUGAAUCUAUAUAGUGCCUUUCAUGGUGUGGAUAUUUUGACAGUAUUAAUUAUUCCUAUCCAUGAACGUGGGGGUCGUUCCACCUUCUCAUUUCUUCAGAACUGUUCCAUAUUCAGUGUUUCAUAUUUUCCUUAUAGAGGUUUUUUUCUUUCUUGGUUACAUUUAUUUGUUUUUAAAAUUUUGUUUACAAGGGGCUAUUUUGAGUGGAAUUGAUGUCCCCCAUGUCUUCUCUGCAGAUUCAUUAUUGGUGUACAAGAGAGCCAUUGGUUUUUGUGUGUUCACUUUGUAACUGGCUACUUUGCUGAAUUUUUAAAAAAUCUUUUAUUUCUUUAUUUUUUAGUUCGACACAAAACCUUUACUUUAUUUAUUUUUAUGUGGUGCUAAGGAUUGAACGCAGUACCUCACAUGUGUAGACAAGCGCUCUACCUACCGCUAAACUACAACCCCAGUCCUACUUUGCUCAAUUUAUUUAUUAGCUCUAACAAUCUUCUGGUGGAACUUCUGGUGGUGGUCUUCUCAGUUAAGAUUAUAUCACUUGCAGUGAUAACUUUACUUCUUCCUUUCCUAAUUUUGCCCAUUUCCUUCUCUUGCUUAAUUACUCUGACUAGAAUUUCUAGUACCAUAUUGAAUAAGAAUGAGAGCGUGAGCAUCCUUGUUCCAGAUUUAGAGAAAAUGCUUUCAGUUUUCCUCCAUUCACUGCGAUGUUGGGUUUGUGGUACAUGGCCCUUAUCAUGUUGAGACAGAUUCCUCUGUCUUCACUUUUUUCAGUGUUCUUGUCAUGAAUGGGGGCUGGAUUUUGUCAAAGCCUACUGCUGCGUAUAUUGAGAUGACUAAGAUUUUUUUCCCCUUAUUUUAAUUUUUUUAAAAAUAAUUUUAGUCUUAGAUGUUCACAAUACCUUUAUUUUGUCUUUUUAUUUUUUUAUGUGGUGCUGGGUAUCAAACCCAGCACCUCACAUGUGCUAGACAAGUGCUCUACCACUGAGCCACAGCCCCAACUCCCAAAUUUUAUUUUUGUGGUGAAUUACUUUUAUUGAUUUGUGUAUGUUAAAACAUCCCUUCUAAGGUACACUCAUACAUUGCUGGUGGGACUGCAAAUUAGUGCAACCACUAUGGAAAUCAGUGUGAAGUUUCCUCAGAAAAUUGGCAUUGGAACUACCAUUUGACCCAGUUAUCCCACUUUUUGGUUUAUACCCAAAGGACUUAAAAUCAGCAUACUAUAGUGAUGCAGCCACAUCAACAUUUAUAGCAGCUCAAUUCACAAUAACUAACCUAUAAAACCAACCUAGGUGUCCCUCAAUAUAUGAAUGGAUAAAGAAAAUGUGGUAUAUAUACUCAAUGGAAUAUUUCACAGCUUUAAAGAAAAGUAAAAUUAUGGAGUUUGUCAGUAAAUGGUUGGAGUUGGAGAAUAUCAUGCUAAGUGAAAUAAGCCAAUCCCACAAAACCAAAGGCUGAAUGUUUUAACUAAUAUGUGGAUGCUAAUUCACAAUAAGGCGGGGGGCACUAGGGAAGAAUAGUGUUGCCUUAGAUUAGGUAGAGGGAAAUGAUGGGAGGGAAGGGGAGGGGAUGUGGGGAUAGAAAAGAUAGUAGAAUGAAACAGACAUUAUUACUGAAUGUAUAAAUGAGACUGCAGGAACAAUAUGAUUCUACAACAUGUACACUCAGAAAAAUAAGAAAUUGUAUCUCACCUAUGUAUGAUAUAUCAAAGUGCAUAAAUGCAUUCUACUGUCAUGUAUGACUAAUUAAAACAAAACAAAACAAAAUAUCCUUUCUACCCUGGGAUAAAACCAAUUUGAUCAUAAUGCACAAUCUUCUUAAUAUGUUGAAUGUAACUUGUUUCUAUUUCUUUAAUUAAUUUUUAUCUAAGUUCAUUAGGUAUAUUGGUCUAUAAUUAGUUUUGCUUGAUGUGUCCUUAAUGUUUUUUUGGUAUGAGUGUAAUUCUAGCUUCAUAGAAUAAAUUUGGAAGUAUUCCAUCCUUUUAUGUUCUAUGGAAUAAUUUGAGGAGUGUUUGUAUUAGUUCUUUAAAAGUCUGGUAGAAUUCAGCUGAGAAUCCACAUAGUCUUGGGCUUUCUUUAUCGGAGGAUUUUUUUAUUACGGAUAUCACCAGUUAUCAGUGAUGAGUUCUGCUUCCUCAAGGAUUGAGGCUUGAACAUUAGAGAAAAGCAUUGAGGCAUGCAUAGAAAGUAGGUUUUAUUUAAAAAAUAGUAACAGAGACUUCUCCCAGAAGGGAGAAGGGGGCCAUAGCUGGUGUCCUGGUAUCCCAAGAAGUGAGAGUGUCCUGCCCCAUUCACACAUUUUAGAUUUUCUUUGUUGUCCUGCUGUCUUCCCCUGUAUCUGUCUCUUUUCUGUGUAUGUGAUUAGGCCCAGGAGAUGCCUGGUGGGAUGGCCAAAAGGUGGGAAGUAGAUGGGCAGGUGGAGGGCCAAAUGAAGUGAUCCAGGCUGAAAGAAGCCCAGAGGGCAUGAAUUAGCAGCUCCCCUUCUGCUCAGGGUGUGCUUUAUCAACAACCUCCUGGAAAUGGCAGUAUGGGCAAGUAAUCUUUGUAAUCAAAAGACUCUGAAUGCAUUAAAUCUCCAAUCUCCCAGGGGUGGUCUCCAACUUUCUAGACCCAAACAAGCCUCCAUUUUCUUGAUCUCACCCAAUUACAUAUCUAUACUGAUUGCCUGUCCUUAAUUCUUGCUUCAUUCUCCCCUCUAAUUUUAGGGACUCUUUAUUCCUCUAAGGAAAAUGGUGAGAACCACUCUUGGUGCUUUGAGAUGAUGGGGGGGGGGAACAACAUAGGGUGGGGCAAGCAGCAUGGAGUUCCCUUUGGGAAAUCAGGUUGGUCCAGGGGUCUGUGGCAGAAGUCUGGUUCAGAAAGGACCGGUUAUAAAGAAAGUGGGGGUGGGUGCUUAUAUGAGAAACAAAAAGACAUGAGUACUGAAAAUAGAUUAAUUGCAAAGGAAAUGUUACAACAUCUGGAAUGUGUCAUGACUAUCAUAAAAAAGUACAUCAAUAAUCUCUUCCCAGGCAGUAUAAGAACUGAGAAGUUAUUCCCAUACUAAGGAUGGAGAGGACAAAGAAUUUAUUUGGGAAUGUACAUCUUCAACAUUGCCACAGUUAUCUGGAAUAAACACUACAUUUAAGCUACUUAAUGUCAUCUGAUUUUUGUAGAAUAUCUUUUUAUUGGGCUGUCCUCUGUAUUUAAAAGUGAUCCCUUUAUUUCUUUUACUCAGGGCUAGAUAAUCAUACAAGCUAACACUGAAUAAACCUAAAUUUCUAGGAGAUUAGGCAGAUCUGUAGGCUGAGUAAAAACUUUUUUCUGACUCUGGCAGUUUCUCUUGAUAGUUAUCAGUCACUCCUGCCUAGGAAUCUCAUUUGUAGCCUUCAGUUUUACUUAUUCUUGGUGUGGCUAACACAGGUGUACAUGCUAAGUUACAGUAAAGUAACUAUUGUUUUUUUCUUUUAAAUUCCCAGGGAUGACAGUGCUUUGGUUAUAAUUGUUUUACUAGAUAGUUAAGAUCAAGAUGGUGAAAUUGAACUUGUUCCUACCUGUUGUCAAGAGUCAGCUGAGUUACCAUUAGGGUCAUUCUUAGGGAACUUCAGAACAGCUUCUUAGUUCUUUUAGUGCGGUCUGCUGGGUGUCAGUGUCCCUUGAUGAUAUGGCUUCCUUGGAAGCAUCGGGAUGUCUCCCUUCUCCAGUGACCCUCCUCUUUGCAGUAAGUGCACUGGCUGGCUUUUGGGGGGUUUUCAAGUGUCUCAGUGACUGGAGGUUAUGUGGCCCAGAGUUGCAAAGAUCUUGGAGAAGUUCCCUGGUUCCCUGGUUUUAAGCUGACUCAGAGGGCAAGAGCCAAAAAUAUUGGUGUUCUUGGCCCUGUUACUUUAACCUUAAUCUUUAAGCCUUGGUCUUAAACAUCCACGAAGCCCAUCUCACCAUUCUUAAAGUAACAGUGCUGGGCUUUAAUUUUAAUGCUAAUAAUUUCAUAGUCAUUUUACUCCUUUUAUUUAAUUGGGGUCUGUAUUAGUACUUUAAGUUAGCAUUAUAUACUAUCUGUCUGUAGUCGAUGGCCUAAUAUCUCAAAUUCACUUAGGUUGUUAUAUAUUUGUUCUUCUGUAAGUCACUAACAAAUAACAUUUAAAGUUUCCAAGGAAAAUUCAAAAUGAAAUUAAACGAGUAAAAACAUGUUGAGUUUGUACAUAAUCUUGACCCUUGGCUGAGUUAUACAUUAUAUCCCCUGUUUGAUAUCAUAGUAUUCUUUUGGGAGGGAGUACUGGGUAUUAAACUCAGGGGUACUCAACCACUGAGCCACAUCCCUAGCUCUAUCUUGUAUUUUACUAGAGACAGUAUUUCACUGAGUUGUUUAAUGCCUUGAUAAAUUGCUGCGGCUGACUUUGAACUUGCAAUCCUCCUGCCUCCACCUCCUGAGCCCCUGAGAUUACAGGUGUGCACGACCAUGUCAGGCCAAAACUCAGUGGUCAUAACAACAAAAAACAAUCUUGAACACAACUUUAAGUGAACUGGAGUCUGACCUAGUUUGGAGUCAUUCUAACUUGCAGUAAGGUGGAAGGCAGCACCACAUCUCUGAUAAGGCAGAGAUCUUUACAAAUCUUAGGUAAAAUGUUCUAGUUCUGAAGCUGAUCUUUGCCUCUUUCUUAAAUAUUAUUUUAUGAAAUUUACAUAAUUUUUCCCAAGUCUUUAUGAAUGAUAGCUAAAACAGUAUGACAUUAUAUCUGAAACAUGAAUCAAAGAAAGGCUAAGAGAGCUUUUAAAUUUCUUUUUGUGGAAAAUGGUAAAAUGCUUUUAUGUUUCAUGAUAUUAACAUUUAAACAGGGCCAAGAAUACCAAUGUUAUCUUUGAAAAAUUCAUUUAAAUUUUUUACCCCUGUUAGAAAAUAACAAAAAAUUUACAUAUAUCUUAUUGUUAACAGGUUAAAUUACAGAACGUUAAAUAAUAUAAAUAAUCCCCAACAAAAUUUGCUAUACUUACAAGUCUAAAAUAACUAUUACUUUAGUUUGGAGAACACCAGCUUGAUACAAUGGUCUUUUAAACCUUCUACUUUAAAGACUUUUAUACUAGGAAGAUAUGAACACAUUGAAUAUACAAAUAAGAGUAAUAGCACCACAAUUAAUUGAUGUUUCUAUAGCAACCGAGUUUAGCUUUUAAGGAAAAAUCUAGACUCUGUAAAAGAGUACAAUAUACUAAAAUAACAGUUUUUUGAUCAAAGUUGUACAUACCCAGGGCUGGGGAUGUAGCUCACUCCUUAGCACAAGGUCCUGGAUUCAAUCCCCAGCACCUCAAAAAAAAAGGUCGUACAGACCCUAAUUUCUUUAAGGAUAGUUGGUCUAAAGAAUAAAACUUAACAGAUACAAUGUUAAUAGUAAAUUAAUGUUUUAAGAAAUCCUUUUCAUUUCAGCACAUAGACUAAACUUUGGUGUAUAUCAGUACAUUAAUAUUUGACCUUAGGGAAAAACCUUAAGCAUUAGCUUUAACUGAUUGUUUUGUUUAUAUACAACUAACUUAGUCCCACACAAACUUUUUAAAGUUUACCUUGGAAUUUAAAAUUCACACAGACCUUUUUAUCACAUACUUAGACAACCCCCUUGUUGUUUACAUAGAUGUAUUGCAAUUUUACCACAACACACUUUCUUUAUCAGAAACGUUUCCUUUUUAUCUACUAAAUAUAUUUUCAUACUAAGCACCAUUUAAAUUUUCUCUUUCCUAGCUUGUUGACUCAUUUUUAAAAUUUACACUCUGAGAUCCUUGUAUAUUUCUGAAUUUAGACAAAUUUCAUCAUUUUACUUAAGUGAAACACUUUUUUAUUUACAGUACUUUAGUUAAAAUGUGGUGGGAACUUUUGGAUCCUAGGUAUAUGGAAUUAUACCUGUUGGGACUUUUGACUGUUAGUAACCUUGUUUUCAGUAUUGACACAAAGCAAUGUUAGACUUUUUUUUUUCACUUACCAACUUAUGAAAACACCAAUAAUGUUAAGUGUUUUUACCCUAUAGAAUUCAAGGAGUUAAGACUACUUGGUAUUUAGAACUAAAUAAUACAAUCAAUAAUUUAGACUUAACACACAUAUAGAAUAUUUCAUCCAUCAACAAGCAAAUACACUUUCUUCUCAGCAGCACAUGUCUCUUUCUCUAAAAUAGACCAUAUCUUAUGCCACAAAAUGAUUCUUAGUAAAUACAAAAGAACAGAGAUAAUACCCUGCAUUCUAUCUGACCACAAUGGAAUGGAAUUAGAAAUCAAUGAUAAAAUAAAGAAUACAAGCUACUGUAACAAAUGGAGACUAAAUAAUAUACUAAUUAAUGAUGAAUGGAUAGUAGAAGAAAUUAAGGAUGAAGUAAAAAAAUUCUUAGAGGUAAAUGAGAACACUGAUGCAAUAUAUCACAAUCUCUGGGACACUAUGAAGGCAAUACUAAAAGAAAACUUUAUUGCAUUGCAUUCAUUCAUUAAAAGAAUAAAAAGCCAACAAAUAAAUGAACACUAACACUACACCUCAAAGCCCUAGAAAAAGAAGAACAAAUCAACACUAAAAGUAGUAGAAGACAGGAAAUAAUUAAAAUCAGAGCUGAAACCAAUGAAAUUGAAACAAUUGAAAAAAAUUGACAAAAUAAAAAGUUGAUUCUUUGAAAAAAUAAAUAAAAUAGAUAAACCCCUGGCCAUACUAAUGAAGAGAAAAAGAAAACUCAAAUUACUAAAAUACAAGAUGAAGAAGGAAAUAUCACAAUGGACACAUCUGAAAUACAGAAGAUAAUUAGAAACUAUUUUGAAAAUUUAUAUUCCAACAAAAUUAAAAAUAUUGAAGACAUAAGCAAGUUUCUAGAGACAUAUGACUUACCCAAACUGAAUGAGGAGGUCAUGCAUGUUUUAAGCAAAUCAAUUUCAAGCAAUGAAAUAGAAAAUGCCAUCAAAAGCCUUCCAACCAAGAAAAGCCCAGGACCAGAUGAAUUAUCAGCUGAGUUCUACAAGACUUUCAAAGAAGAAUUAACACCAAUACUCUUCAAAGUAUUCCAUGAAAUAGAAAAGGAAGUAACCUGUCCAAACUCAUUCUAUGAGGCUAAUAUCAUCCUGAUACCAAAACCAAAGACACAUCAAGAAAAGAAAACUUUAAACUAAUAUCCCCAAUGAACAUAGAUGCAAAAAUUCCCAAUAAAAUUCUGGCAAGGGCUGGGAUGUAGCUAGUGGCAAAGCGUCUGCCUUGCAUUCGCAAAGCCCUGGGUUUGACCCCCAGUUCCAAAAAAAAAAAAAAAGAACCCCACCAAAAAAAAUGAUUAAAAAAUUCUGGCAAAUAGCAUACAAAAACAUAUUAAAAAGAUAGUGCACAACGAUCAAGUGGGGUUCAUCCCAGUGAUUCGGGGUUGGUUCGACAUACAAAAAUCAAUACACAUAAUUCUUCAUAUUAAUAGACUUAAAAACAAGAAUCAUAUGGUCAUCUCAAUAGAUGCAGAAAAAGCAUUUGACAAAAUACAGCACCCCUUCAUGUUCAAAACACUAGAAAAACUAGGGAUAGUAGGAACAUAACCUCAACAUUGUAAAAGCUAUAUAUGCUAAGCCCAAGGCCAGCAAGCAUCAUUCUAAAUGGAGAAAAUUGAAAACAUAUUCUCUAAAAACUGGAACAAGAUAAGGAUGUCCUCUUUCACCACUUCUAUUCAACAUCCUUGAAACUCUAGCCAGAGCAAUUAGCAAAAGAAAAAAUUAAAGGGAUACAAAUAGGUUAAGAAGAAUUCUAACUAUCACUAUUUGCAAAUGACAUGAUUCUGUAUCUACAAGAUCCAAAAAAUUCUACCAGAAAACUUCUAGGACUAAUAAAUGAAUUCAGCAAAGUAGCAGGAUAUAAAAUCAACACCCAUAAAUCUAACAAAAUUUUACACAUCAGUGAUAAAUUUACUGAAAGAGAAAUUAGAAAAACUACUCUAUUCACAAUAGCCUCAAAAAAAAAAAAACCCACCUGGGAAUCAAUCUAACAAAAGAGGUGAAAGACCUCUACAAUGAAAACUACAGAACGCUAAAGAAAGAAAUUGAAGAAAACCUCAGAAGAUGGAAAGAUCUCCCAUGCUCCUAGAUAGGCAGAAUUAAUAUUGUCAAAAUGGCCAUUCUAACAAAAGCAUUAUACAGAUUUAAUACAAUUCCUAUUAAAAUCCCAAUGACAUUCUUCAUAGAAAUAGAAAAAGCUAUGAUGAAAUUUAUUUGGAAAAAUAAGAGACCCACAAUACCAUUGUAGACCAGAAUAGAAGACACAGAGACAAAUCCACAUAAAUAUGUUAUGUCAUACUAGACAAAGGAGCCAGAAACAUUCACUGGAGAAAAGGUAGCCUCUUCAACAAAUGGUGCUGGCAAAACUGGAAAUCCAUAUGUAGCAAAAUGAAAUUAAACCUCUAUCUCUCACCCUGCACAAAAGUCAAUUCAAACUGGAUUAAAGACUUAGGCACUAGAACAGAGACCCUGCACCCAAUAGAAGAAAAGAUAGGCCCAAAUCUUCACCAUGUUGGCCUAGGAUCUGACUUCCUUAACAAGACUCCUAAAGCACAAGAAGUAAAAUCAAGAAUUAAUAAAUGAGGUGGAUUCAGGUUAAAAAAACUUCUUCUCAGCAAAGGAAACAAUAAUGUGAAGAGAGAGCCUACAGAUUGGGAGAAAAUCUUUACCACAUGCUCCUCUGAUAAAGCAUUAAUCUCUAAGUUAUAUAAAGAACUCAAAAAACUUAACACCAAAUAAUAAUAAUAAUAAUAACCCAAUCAAUAAAUGGGCUAAGGAACUAAACAGACAUUUCACAGAAGAAAAAUACAAUCGAUUAAUAAAUAUAUAAAAAAGUGUUCAACAUCUCUAGCAGUUAGACAAAUGCAAAUCAGAACUAAGCUAAGAUAUUAUCUCACUCCAGUCAGAAUGGCAAUCAUCAAGAAUACAGGCAACAUGGGCUGGGGAUGUGGCUCAAGUGGUAGCGCGCUCGCCUGGCAUACGUGCAGCCCGGGUUAGAUCCUCAGCACCACAUACAAACAAAGAUGUUGUGUCCGCCGAGAACUAAAAAAAAAAAAUAUUAAAAAAUUCUCUCUCUCGCUCUCCCCCACUCUCUCUUUAAAAAAAAAAAAAAGAAUACAGGCAACAAUAAGUGUUGGCGAGGAUGUGGGGGGAAAGGUACACUCAUACAUUGCUGGUGGGACUGCAAACUGGUGAAACCACUAUGGAAAGCAGUAUGAAGAAUCUUCAGAGAACUUGGAAUGGAACCAUCACUUGACCCAGCUAUCCCACUCCUCUUUUUAUACCCGAAAGACUUAAAAUCAGCAUACUAUAGUGAUGCAGCCACAUCAAUGUUAUAGCAUCUCAAUUCACAAUAGCUAAACUAUGGAACAAAUCUAGGUGUUCCUUAAUAGAUGAAUGGAUGAAGAAAAUAUGGUAUAUAUAUUCAAUGGAAUAUUACUCAGUUUAAAGAAGAGUGAAAUUAUGGCAUUUUCCUGUAAAUGGAGGGAGUUGGAGAAUAUCAUGCCAAGUGAAAUAAGCCAAUUCCACAAAACCAAAGGCCAAGUAUUUUCUCUAAUAUGCAGAUGCUAAUUGACAAUAAGGUGGGGGGGCACAAGAGAAGAAUAGUGUUACCUUAGAUUAGAUAGAGGGAAGUGAUGGGAGGGAAGUGGAGGGGAUGUAGAGAUAGGAAAGACAGUAGAAUGAAACAGACAUUAUCACUGUAUGUAUAUAUGUAACUACAUGACCAAUAUGGUUCUGCAACAUGUACACUCAGAAAAAUGAGAAAUUAUAUCCCAUCUAUGUAGGACAUAUCAUAGUGCAUAAAUGCAGUCUACUGUCAUGUAUAAUUAAUUAAAACAAAUAAAAAAUUAAAAAAGAGAACUUGAUGUUAUAUUUAACAGCAUUUUAACUUUGUAAAUUAAUUAGAUGUCUCUAAUAAACACAUUUAUGAUUGAUACCAUAUAUGUCAAAUCUAAUUCACUCAUUUUCAAAACUCAAGAUUUCAAACAAGUGUAUUUAACAGAAUUAGCUUUCUCUUCCUUGUUGAAGAAAAAUCCUAGAAACAAUGGAUAUUAGACAUUUUUUAGAUAUCAACAUAUUAUUAGUUGUUGGACCACCUCGCGAAACUUGUGACUUUACUUCCAUUUGUUUACCUGAUUUAAAUUAAACUUUUUAAAUCACAGAAAUUAAAAGAUAUUUGGAUGCAUUUUCUUUUUAAAAAAAUUUUAAUUUGUGAGGGCUCAUUUAUCCAUAUACCAAUUUUGAUACCCAAAUACAUGUAGACAUGACAAUAUACCCAUGUACACACAUAGACAAACAACACAGGCCAUGUAGUGUUUUUUUUUGGGGGGGUGCAUUAUAUUUACUUUUUGGUUGUAGUUGGACACAAUACCUUUAUUUUGUUUAUUUAUUUUUAUGUGGUGCUAAGGAUCAAACCCUGGGCCUUGUAUGUGCUAGGCAAAUGCUCUACUGCUGAGCCACAACCCCAUUCCCGGCUAUGUAGUUUUUAAAACCUAUUAGAUUAGGAGCUAACCCUUCCCAAUUUCCUCUGAUCAAAGCAGUGUGUAAAAACAAAACAAACAAACAAAAAAACUGUAUAGUUGAACAAAAAUAGGACUGAUUAGGAAAACAUAUUAACCUAGCUAUGCAGGAACAAAAUGUGAAUUUCACCAUAAAACCAGGAGCUCAAAAGUAUAGAAUUAAAAAAAGAGUCCUAGAACAAGUGACACAGUCAUUAAUUAUCUUAGUAAAGCAGCAUACAGUUUACUUAUUGCCUCAGACUAACAUGAGUUCAGGUAAAAGACACUUUUUAUUUUUUUUCUUCCCCCUUUGUGUCUCAGACCUAUCCUCAACUGAGCCUGAUCUAAAGUUAUGAGACAUUACUUUUUAUUGGAGGAGGAAGCUACUAUGUUAAGCUUCUUACUGAGCUAUUCCAUUUGUUGUCUAUGUGGGUGGUGUGUGUGUGUGUGUGUGUGUGUGUGUGUGUGUUGUGCUGGGAUUGAACCCAGUGCCUUGUGCAUGUGAGGUAAGCACUUUACUAACUAUCCUCAGCCCUUUUGUGACUAGUUCUAGGGUUAUUUUUCGUCUGUCAGUGAUAAGCAGGUUAAAUUUUGUUCCAUAGGUAAGUUGGGGACAGGGUCUUGAAGUAAGGCCCCUUUUUAAUGUCUCAAAGGCUUCCAAAGCCUUCUCAUAACUCAGAUAGGGAAUAAACUUUUUGGUGAUUGGCUGUCCUGACACCCAUCAGACAGGAAAGAGGUCUAAGUUAAGAGGUGACUACAGAGAAGCUGGCACUGGUGUCCAAGAGGAAACUGACCUCUUGGCUCCCUAUAGAGAAGCAUACCUGGGGCUCGUUCAUGGUGAUAGGAGUUACCAGAGCCAUUGGAAUCCACCUAGGGCUCUGCCAGCCUGUGUGGAUGGGACUGGCCUAGAAGACUUAUGCCCCAGGGACAUUCAUUCCUCCAACAAUUACCUUGACAUUUAGGACAGGGCUUCAAGUGUGGCCAUUUCACCUGUGGGCAUUCUGUUUGAAAUGUCCUUCCUCUUCAAGUACAUUUUGUUGCUCAGGGUGCACUCCAUUUUUUUUUUUUUUCAUCCAGGAAGGUCACUCCUCUUAGGUCUAUGACCAGUGCUUCACCUUUCCCUGUUUCUAGGCUCUCUCCUUAUUUUCCUUCUAACAUCUGUUCUAAAAGUCAGAAGUUGCAAGCCAGAGGGUAUCACACGAGAUUUGACCAGGGCCGUAUGCCACUUUUUGUAAUAUUAUCCAAAUGCCUGGGGCUGACUGAAUAAUAAAUUUAUCUUUUAUUUAUUUUCUUUAAUAAUUUAUUUUUAAAAACUAGUUGGCCCUCUAUAGAUUCAGGAUCCAGGGUGGUGUGUUUUCUUACUGCCUCCCUGAGUCUCUUCAUGAAAAUAGCAGGACUUUCCUGAGGCCUCAAGGAUUAACAUCUGGAAAUGUCUAAUAUUCAAGGCAUCCUGCUCAUCACUCAGAUUCCAGGCAGGAUUGUUCUGGGAACUACCUGUGCUCCAGAUUGAUGAUUAGGUUUGCUUCUCGUUUGUGCUGCUGGGCCGUGAACAAGAUGUAGGUCAUCCCCUAUCUGUUUAUCUACUUCUAGGGUGACCUUCUCAGUGGAGGUUAAAAUUUGGUUAAGGAAUAGCAUAAUAUCUUUCCAGAUGAGAUCAAACCCCUGGCCUAAGUUCUGAAAUGCCUCAAUAUAUUUAUCUGGAUCUUCUGAAAACUUUCCUAGGUUGAUUCUUACCUAUUUUAAGUCUUGGAGGGAGAAAGGAGUAUGUGCUUUAACUGGUUUGAAUCUUCCCCCUGGCCUCUCUUGGAGAGCUGGUAUAUAUGAUCAGCCUUUUGGGGAUAGGUGUGGAGGACAGGAGGACUUCUGAUAUUGGUGAUGGUUAUCAGCAGGAGAUGGAGGCUUCAGGGGUCCCCCUGAUUUCUCUCCUCAGUAGAUGAUUCCUUAAGUACUUGUCCUUUUUAUUUUUCUUGGUCAUCUAUGGGUCAAACUGGUCUUAAUUUCCCAGUGUGCAUGUUAGUGAUGAACCUGGUAAAUACUGUUGAGAACAAAGCUCCCUCCCACCUGGGUCCUUGGAGACCUCUCUCCAUGAGUUUCUAGCAAUCCAGCACAUCAACUCUCACCUCCUGGAUCUGCCAAUCUUCGUGGUGGCUGGAUUGGCAGGUGCUAAAGUUCUCAGUUGCUCUGUACCAGAGACUCAGGAGAAUUCAUUUUUACGGGCAUUUACUGAUCUUCUCCCUUCCACUAUAAAUUUUACAAUUAUGAAGACCCACAAAAAGAAGAAGCAGAAGAAGAAAAAAACCUGAACUCUUCUCUGCUGUGUAGACUAAAGGAAUGUCCAGAGGGUAAUGGAAUAUCUAGUGGUUGUUAGGCAAAAAAAAUGCCCUUUUCCUGGAAGAGUUUGUGGAAGGGGUUGAUUUAAAAAAUACCUCUCUCCUACAGCUGAUUUGGGUUUUUUGUUUUGUUUUUGUGGCACUGGGGAUUGAACCCAGUGCCUGUACAUGCAAGGCAAGCCCUUUACCAACUGAGCUGUAUCCAAGUCCCCCUCCUACAGCUUUAAAGAAUGCAUUGAGCACAUCUGAGGAAAGGAACAGUAAGCAGGCUAUUAAAGACUUACUAUGUGAACAAAAGGAGCCAGGUGUUUCUUACUAAUAGCCUCACCCUCCAGUCUGAAUAGCUAGUGUCGGUCAGUGAAAAGGGGGGCACCCUGGAGGGAAUGGACUCAGGGGAGUGUUGCAUGGCCCCCACAGAAGCCAGUGUCAUUGGUGUCUUCCCUCAGGGUCAUAUUUCAGCAGUCAGGUUCUGGCUUCCAGUGUGGAAUGUGUAUAUUCCUCUGCAAGUUGGUUUUUAUUCUGAACUGCAGGUGAAACUGACGUCUUACCUGAGCUGGUUCAAGAGUUUGAUUUUCUUUAUUUUUAAUUCAUUUUAUUACUAUGUAACUAAUUUUUCAUGCACUUAAUUUUAUUUCCUUGUUGUCUUUCUAUUUGCUUGACUGAAAAAUGACUUGACAAAGUCAAGUGUGAGGUGGUCUUGCCUAGUAUCCCCAGGCUCUCCCUAGUGAGAUGGAUGCCCAUCUCCUUCCUUUCCAGUCUGGCCUGACCUGGCACCCACCUUUUCUGAGGUCAUGGUUGGCUCCCUUCACAUCAUGUGUGUAAUUCCUCACUCCAAGUGUGUAAUUCCUCACAUAUGCUUGUGACUGUGUCCAGGCUGAAGGUGCAGAAAGGGCCUCCUGAGAGCAGGAAGACAACAGGGCCUGCUUUAGAAAGCUGGGGUCAGUUCUGAACAAGUGGAAAUAUUCCCCUGGUGUGGCAGUCCCCUUGCAGGAAAGAAACCCUGCCUGAAAAGAGCUUUUGCCAAGAAACUUUCCUUCUGGCCUUAUUUAUCUAAAAAUCGGAUACAUAUUCUGUUACUCAGGGUCCCGAAAUAUGCAUAUGUGGCCUGGGGUGAGAGAGGGGUCUUCUGGAGCCCUGCCUAUGUUUAACCAUGACACAAGAAAAGACCACCAACUCCAAUUUUAAGUCAAAUUAAAGCAAGCUUGUAUUGUGUACACAAAAGCUUGCCAGUGGCCUUCUCACCCAAAACCUGGGCCAGAGAACAGCCCCCCAGCUUUCAAGGAACAAGGUUUUAUAGCACCAAAAAUUUGCAAAGGGGGGGUGUCUUGAGAACUUAUAGGUAACAGGAUUUUGACAAGCAUAAUACAAAGGCAGAUAGCAGGUUAGUGAUCUACAUGGCAUGAUAUUUUAAGAUAGGGAAUAAAUUCAGAUCCCAACAUCAGAAUUUAUGAGGUGCCACUGAGCUUUCAGAGAGGGUUGUUAUCUGGUCAGGGGGAGCCAGGAUUUAUGAGGUGCCACUAAGGUUUUAGAGAGGGUGGUUAUCUGGUCAGGGGGAGCCCAGGCAUGGAUGAGUUCAAGGCACCGGAAGGAGUUCCAAACAAGUUUAAAAAUCUCAGCAAUUUCUGGUAAAACAGCAAUUAACUUUUCAUGACUUUGUGAUGAGAUGGCUCCCAAUCAUAAGGUGGAAUUAGGCUGGGUUCAUCAACUAGUCAGCAGGCAGCUGGUGGGAGGGUGGCCUUCCACAGUCUCACAGGACUUUCUCUCUCACCCUGUGCAGCUCAGAAUCCAUCUCCAGGACUGUGUCUUCUCUGCUGUGUGAGACCCAAGUGGCUCUGGCUCAGAUCUGUCUCCCUGUGACCUGCAGGUGCUAUGAGGUCCUCAGGAAGGAUGUCAGGACUCCCCAGAAGGCAGGAAAUGGUGAGUGUGGGUUGAGGACUGCUCAGGGAGGUGGGCUGGUUAGAACUGGUGGGAAUCAGCUGUGGCUGGACUCUGGCCUCCCACUGUCAGCUCCAGAGUCAGCCAGCCCAGACCUGAGUCAGAUGCUGCUACAGCUCAGCCCUUGAUGCCUUCAGGACAUGGUGUGGGCUGGUGCAGGUGGGUUCCCAAUGUGCUGCCUGGUCUGCAGCUACUUUGGCAGAACCCUCUCUGCCCAGCUGGACCCAGCCCUAGUCUCUCAGUGUGCAAUGAAGGCAGACCCUUUUCAUGGGAUACUUACUCAGGGAUGGGGUUCCUGUGUUCAAGGUUAUUGGUCUAGGGGUCACUGUUCCUCCGACCCCAGGAGUCACUCACUUUCCCACUCCAUGUUCCACGUGUUUCUGAAACACAGUCUCAAUUCACUUUGCUCUCCCAGGCUAGCCCCUCUUAGGGCUGGCAGUAGACCCCUAAGCUUGCACCUCUCUCUCACAUUUCCAGACUCCAACUCCUCUUCCAGUUCACACCAUUUUCAACUCUUCCACUCACGACAUUCAAGUGGGCACAGUAUUAUCAAUUUUUCACUCAGUAAUGCAGGAUACUUUUUUAAAUAUUUGUGUCCUGUUUGUGAAUAUCUACCAUGAGGGGAAAGUAGAGAGCGGCCACCUGGAGCUCCACUGUCCUUUGUCUUCUCCCAGCACAGAUGCCUUAAUGUCUUUGAGCAAAGCUUCCCUUUAGACACUCCACAGGGUAGCAUAUCCUGAGCCACUGUCCUGGCCUUUCCUGGGCUGCCACAGGUGCCCACCGCUGCCCUGUGCCCUGUAGGUACAGGAAAUUUCAGGCCCUGGGUCAGCUCCUCCUAGAGGACAGCCUGAGGUGUGGGGCACACCUUGUCAGGGGAGCAGCUGGAAGCCCUGGGGAUGAGGAAUUUCCUGUAACAUGUCACAUCUAAACAACUGCCUCAUUGGGCUAUUGUGUCCCCCAAGCCCUGUUCCCAUUCCUUGGAGACAGGUGGACAGUGAGCCUGUGGAUGCUGGUGCUGAGGGGCCAGGUCAGCAGUGAUUCCUGCCCUUGCAGUCUCUCACAGUUGUGAAGGAGGAAAACUCUCCCAGAGCAUAAGGACCACCCACCCCAGUGCAGUGCUGUGCAAACCUGAAAGCCUCAUAGACUGGAGUCAUAGUCCAGAUCUCCUGGGAGGGUGAUCAUGGAGUGUUUCAGUGAGCAGGACCAGGUGGGAGAUGUCCAGCUGGUAGGCUGAUUAUCAGUCCCUUGAACAUGACACAUCUGUGUUCCCUCAGCCCCAGCCCUAUCUGUGUUCCUCACUUUGAAUUGAUAUGCUUUAUACAUAAAUGUAACAUUGGAAUUCACUGUGAUAUAUUUAUACAGCGCAUAGCAUAAUUUGUUCCAUUUCAUUCAACAGUUCUCUAAACAUUAAAAAGAGCUAGGGAUGUAACUGAGUGUUUAAGUGUCCCUGGGUUCAACACAGAGUACCCAAAAAAAAAAAAAAAGCUGACAUUAGAGUUAUUUAAAAUAAAACAUGUCAAGGUGAUGAAAAGUCUUGCUGAACCUCAGUUUGGAUUUCAUUAUAUUUUGGGACAUAUAGACGAUGUCUGUCACUCUGUGACUUUGUGUCCUUCCAGAGAUGCUGGGACAUAAGGCACUCCACUAAUUGCUGUGAACAUCCACUGGGCAGUUCUGGUGGGCCAUCCCCCGGGCUGGUGGUUGACUGCCCAGGGGUGCAGCACUUUGUUAGGUUCCAUCAUAUUUACUGUGGGUCAGUAAGUACCUGCUCUACUCAGCAGAAUGCUUUUCAAUGUGGCAGGGAGCUUGGUGGCUGUGUCUGAGGACAGGUCCUGUGGCUGUGGAUUCUCUGCAGGCCCAUCUGUGGUGCAGAAAUGUCCCCCCACCCUGGCCAACAUGACUCACCGGGGUCCUUAGUCCUGAAUACAAAGACUUCACUAGUCCUCUGGUUUUUUUAACUUCCGGUGUCCCAGGUCAUCAACAGCAGGUGCCCAUUUCUUUUGCUGAGUGACUGAUGCAGCAUCCAACUGGUGUCCAAACAGUGCCCAGCAUUCCCCAGGUCUGGCCCCAACACCACAUGAUGGGAGCUGUUGCUCUCCGCUUGCUGCCUUAGAGCAAACAAAUUUCUGCCUUGACCCACCUCCUGCUGCCUCCAGUGACCUUCCCGUUCAGCUUCCAGGGGACUUGGGCAACUUCUCAUCCCAGCCUUCUGCAGGGAGCUGCCACAUCUGGGGCCAUCUCUCUGUGUCAAUGUGUGUCCAAGCAGCUUUCCUCCAGCGUGGGCCCCAGGCAGACUGUGGUAAUCCUUCUAGGCUUCGUAGAACUCGGGCAGCUUCCUGCCAUUGCUCCCCCAGUGUGUGGUCAGUGGCAGCAGGAUCCUGAUGGCUUCCCUUUCCUGUGCUCAGAGGCCGACACUGCCUCACUCCUUGGAUGUGAGCUUGAGGUCCUGCUGCCACAGGGCGAGGGUGUUGUGUCUCAACCCAGGUUCCUUGGUGGUCUUUAAAAUGGUAAUACUUUGAGCUCAUGACACAGGUAUGUUUUUAUUUAUUUGUGUCUUAUUUCAUUUCUUUUAGGAACAUUUUGUAGUUUUCAGUAUAUAAGCCCCCUUCUUGGGACAUUGUUUUAAUUGUUGGUAUUAUUUCCAGAAUGCCUUUCUCAGGUUGCUCAUACACUUAUGGAACUGAUUAUCUGUGAAGGGAGAUAGUUUUACUCUUCCUUUCCAAUUUGGGUGCAUCUCUUUUUCACUGUUUCUCCUUACAUAAUUUUCCUGGCUACUGUUUCCAUUGCUGCAUCAAAAGGACCUGGUGAAUGGAGCAGGUCUCAUAUUCCAGUCCUUCUAGGGCCAUUUUUCAUGAGCACUUCUCAGCCUUUCCUCCUCUCUGAUUAGACAGGAAGACUGGGGGCAGAUGGAGGUUGGUGUUUCUCUUUUCCCCAGAAGGUUUGACUUAUAACAUCUCAGGUGAUUUAGUCUUUGGAAAUAAUUUCUUCUAAAUGUAGUGCCAGGAAGGUUGGAGUUCUCUGGGCAUACUGAAAAAUGCCAUCUUUCUUCUUCCUGUGCUUUAAGCAGUGAGCCUGUGUGUGUGUGUGUGUGUGUGUGUGUGAGAGAGAGAGAGAGAGAGAGAGAGAGGGAGAGAGAGAGCGAGAGCGAGAUCUUCACUGUGAUACUGGCAGUGUUUCUAAAGGGAAAAAUAUUAUAAAUUUGUAGGAAUAGUCAGAAAAAUCACCAUUCUGCAGUUCAUGGUAAAUUUCAGGUAAGAGGCAAAACUGCUGCAGGGGCAGCUGCCCCAUCUCCCAUGCUUGUUCCCUGACUAGGAGUUCUAAGGUAUGAGUGGAACAAAAUAACUGGGUUUCUGAAGGAAGGCAUACAUUCAGUAAAGAUCGUGUUUUUUACCUAUAGUCUCAGCAUUAUGACUCAAUGUUACUGCAUAGUUUGGCGGGAUCCUCCCAUGUCCUUAGUUCCCCCUACCAGCAAAGUUCCAACUUGUCAGCUGAUACUUCUAAGUGUACAUACUGUUAGGAGGACUAAUAUUAGCUCUCUUUUCUUUUUCUUUUUUCUUUCUUUUUUGGUAGUGGGGAUUGAACUCAACCACUGAGCCACAUCCCCAGCCCAAUUUCAUAUUUUAUUUAGAGACAGGGUCUCACUGAGUUGCUUAAGUGCCUUGCUUUUUUGGCUCUGAACUCACGAUCCUCCUGCCUCAGGCUCCCAAGCCACUAGGAUUACAGGUGUGCGCCACUGCACCCAGCAAUUUAACUCUCUUUUGCACAUAAGGUAGUAGGGCUUCAUUAUUCCAUAAAUUAAAUAUGCACUCACAAAGGUGUUGGGGCUGUCUNCCUUCUAGGGCCAUUUUUCAUGAGCACUUCUCAGCCUUUCCUCCUCUCUGAUUAGACAGGAAGACUGGGGGCAGAUGGAGGUUGGUGUUUCUCUUUUCCCCAGAAGGUUUGACUUAUAACAUCUCAGGUGAUUUAGUCUUUGGAAAUAAUUUCUUCUAAAUGUAGUGCCAGGAAGGUUGGAGUUCUCUGGGCAUACUGAAAAAUGCCAUCUUUCUUCUUCCUGUGCUUUAAGCAGUGAGCCUGUGUGUGUGUGUGUGUGUGUGUGUGUGUGUGUGUGUGAGAGAGAGAGAGAGAGAGAGAGGGAGAGAGAGAGCGAGAGCGAGAUCUUCACUGUGAUACUGGCAGUGUUUCUAAAGGGAAAAAUAUUAUAAAUUUGUAGGAAUAGUCAGAAAAAUCACCAUUCUGCAGUUCAUGGUAAAUUUUAGGUAAGAGGCAAAACUGCUGCAGGGGCAGCUGCCCCAUCUCCCAUGCUUGUUCCCUGACUAGGAGUUCUAAGGUAUGAGUGGAACAAAAUAACUGGGUUUCUGAAGGAAGGCAUACAUUCAGUAAAGAUCGUGUUUUUUACCUAUAGUCUCAGCAUUAUGACUCAAUGUUACUGCAUAGUUUGGCGGGAUCCUCCCAUGUCCUUAGUUCCCCCUACCAGCAAAGUUCCAACUUGUCAGCUGAUACUUCUAAGUGUACAUACUGUUAGGAGGACUAAUAUUAGCUCUCUUUUCUUUUUCUUUUUUCUUUCUUUUUUGGUAGUGGGGAUUGAACUCAACCACUGAGCCACAUCCCCAGCCCAAUUUCAUAUUUUAUUUAGAGACAGGGUCUCACUGAGUUGCUUAAGUGCCUUGCUUUUUUGGCUCUGAACUCACGAUCCUCCUGCCUCAGGCUCCCAAGCCACUAGGAUUACAGGUGUGCGCCACUGCACCCAGCAAUUUAACUCUCUUUUGCACAUAAGGUAGUAGGGCUUCAUUAUUCCAUAAAUUAAAUAUGCACUCACAAAGGUGUUGGGGUGACCCAGGAGCAUACCUUAUUCCCUGGACUCCACAAGGAGAAGGGUGUUUUGCUCUGCUCAUGCUUUUUUGGAUAGUUCCGGUCUUGUAUUAAUAUGCCUCUGUUUGGGCAAGUGAGUGCACAAUGAGAGUACAAGUUUUGAAGACAAAAUCAUGGAAUGAAUAUUUGGAGAUCACAGAAAUGUGCAAAUGUGUCUUAUGAUGAGAAUAGAGCCCUCAUGCUGUCAAUCUCUCCUGGCAUGCACUACUCUUUUCUGGAAUAUUUUAGAAUUCAGUGGCCUUUGAGGAUGUGGCUGUAAACUUCACCCAGGAGGAGUGGGCUUUGCUGGAUCUCUCCCAGAAGAAUCUCCACAGAGACGUGAUGCAAGAAGUCCUUAGAAACCUGGCUUCUAUAGGUA